UCCCUGGUGGCUCAGAUGGUAAAGAAUCUGUCUGCAAUGCAGGAGACUCAAGUUCAAUUCCUGGUUUGGGAA
rfam:TPA: Bos taurus chromosome 20, whole genome shotgun sequence.